UGGGGAAUAUUGGGCAAUGGGCGCAAGCCUGACCCAGCAACGCCGCGUGAAGGAAGAAGGCUUUCGGGUUGUAAACUUCUUUUCUCAGGGACGAAGCAAGUGACGGUACCUGAGGAAUAAGCCACGGCUAACUACGUGCCAGCAGCCGCGGUAAUACGUAGGUGGCAAGCGUUAUCCGGAUUUACUGGGUGUAAAGGGCGUGUAGGCGGGAAAGCAAGUCAGAUGUGAAAACCACGGGCUCAACCUGUGGCCUGCAUUUGAAACUGUUUUUCUUGAGUACUGGAGAGGCAGACGGAAUUCCUAGUGUAGCGGUGAAAUGCGUAGAUAUUAGGAGGAACACCAGUGGCGAAGGCGGUCUGCUGGACAGCAACUGACGCUGAGGCGCGAAAGCGUGGGGAGCAAACAGG
rnacentral:rRNA from 1 species